AACUUUGUGCAGUGGCAGUAUCAUGGCCAAUAUUAUUGCUAAUUGAAAACUUUUCCCAAUACCCCGCCAUGAUGACUUGAAAUAUAGUCGGCAUUGGCAAGUUUUGACAGUCUCUACGGAGA
rnacentral:snRNA from 1 species